AGUGAACGCUGGCGGUAGGCCUAACACAUGCCAGUCGAACGGCAGCACAGUAAGAGCUUGCUCUUACGGGUGGCGAGUGGCGGACGGGUGAGGAAUACAUCGGAAUCUACUUUUUCGUGAGGGAUAACGUAGGGAAACUUACGCUAAUACCGCAUACGACCUACGGGUGAAAGCAGGGGAUCUUCGGACCUUGCGCGAUUGAAUGAGCCGAUGUCGGAUUAGCUAGUUGGCGGGGUAAAGGCCCACCAAGACGACGAUCCGUAGCUGGUCUGAGAGGAUGAUCAGCCACACUGGAACUGAGACACGGUCCAGACUCCUACGGGAGGCAGCAGUGGGGAAUAUUGGACAAUGGGCGCAAGCCUGAUCCAGCCAUACCGCGUGGGUGAAGAAGGCCUUCGGGUUGUAAAGCCCUUUUGUUGGGAAAGAAAAGCAGCAGGUUAAUACCCCGCUGUUCUGACGGUACCCAAAGAAUAAGCACCGACUAACUUCGUG
rnacentral:rRNA from 1 species